UGCAAGUUCAUGCCCGUAGAAGCUGUUGCUCGUCCAUUGGAACCCUUCGCCAGUAUCGAUUUUAUCGAAGGGUGCUGCAAAAGAAUAUUUUUUAUUAACCCGUGAGUAUCUUUUGAAUAUUUUGUUGAGCCUUGGGGUAACACACAUUUAUGGGCCCCUACCCCUAGCCUACUUUACAAAUAAGAUGGGGCAUUAACCAUAGCCACAUGAGAAUCACAUAAAAAUGUACUUAUGGUGAUACAAAAACACAUUAAAUCUAGAGCAUCGUGGACCUGGCUUCUGGACUCAGCCUCAGAGCGGCCCAGAAAUGUCCCUAAUGGUUGAAAUGAAACAAAAGUUUUAAGCACAAGCAUUUUAAUAAUUAUUCCCAAAACAUAGUAUAAUAAUUUUUUUCCAUGCACAUUUGCUUGUAUUUGACGUAUAAUCCACAGUGCCUUGUCUAAGUAAAAGCCUAUAAUAAUAAAAAAAUACACCUUAUCAAGAAUUAUCAGUAAUUUUUUUAAUAAACUUCAAAUAUAUUUAUUUAAGAUUUCAAAAAUUGAACUCCGACUGGAAUCCUGCAGACGUUUCGCCAAAAUCUCACUCACUUGGCAUCUUCAAUGCUCGCGCUCCGAAAACACUUCGAACACUCAGUGUUCACAUUUGAUCACUUAUAUAAUAUUUGCCCUGAACAGACACUUAGAAAUUUUUUUUAUCGUAGGAUUCUUGCAUAUGAUCAAACUGGAUCUGGAAAAAACCAUUCAAUGGAAACUGCCUAUCAAGGAAAGGAUCAUAUGGGGGUUAUACCUUUGGCUGUUUUACAUAUAUUUGAUUAUAUCAAGGACAAUUUCUCCGUAGAUUUUAGUGUUAGCGUGUCUUUUAUUGAGCUUUACAACGAAGGAAUUUUCGAUUUCUUAUCUGAUAAGCGUCGAGACCAAUGUGGAUUAGAAAUUCGCGAAGACGUCAAAGGGAACAUACUUAUACCCAAUUUAACUGAGACAAUUGUAGAAUCUACCAGUCAAGUUUUAGAUAUACUGGCGAAGGGUUCCAAUGGACGCGCAACAGCUUCUACGGGCAUGAACUUGCAUUGUUCCAGAAGUCACGUUAUGUUUAACAUUAACAUUUGAAAGAAAUCAAAAUAAGAAGGCAAAAUUACACCUAGUUGACCUGGCUGGACCCGAGUGACCCAAGAAAACUGGAGCAAUUGGCAUUACAUUUAAAGAGGGAGUAAAUAAAAAGCAAAGGUCUUUUGGUGCUGGGAAAUGUUAUCAGCUAUUUAGGCAAUGAUAAAUCGCAACAAAAUUUUGUGCCAUACAGAGACAGUAAUUUAACACGGCUAUUGAAAGGUAGAUUUGAAUGAAUUUUGUGCAUCAAAAUUUACCUGACCAUUUUUGACUCCUUUGGGGGUAAUGAUAAUAGCAUGUGUUAGCCCUGCUGACUAUAAUGUGGAAGAAACUCUUUCGACCUUGAGAUAUGCUGACAGAGCGCGAAAAAUUACCAUUACACCAAUGAAGAUCCAAAUCUACAGAAAUUAAUGAAUUAAAACUGCAGAUCAAACAUUUGCAGUUGUAGAUUGUAGAGCAAAGUGUCCCAGUAGUAACAAUGAUUGAGAGUAAUAAACUCUAUGAGGACAACAAUAUGUUAAAAUUAAAAAUUGGAGAUCUCCAUUCCCACUUGACAGAAUUAGUGAUGGACAAAACAUAUCUGCAUGAAAAAAUAUUAAUUUUGUAAACAGCCAAUGAAGAUGUCACUGAAAAAAUCCAGCAAGUUCGGGAAGAAUAUGACUUGGUAUUAGACAAUUUAAGUGCAAACAUAGAGAGUAAUGCUGAUGUCAAGGAAAAUGUAUUCAAAUUGAGGGAGAUUAGAGAAAAACUCAUUCUUCUGCAGUUAGAACUAGUUAAAACUGAAACCGAAAUGAGCUUCAAGGGCAGUCAUGAAGCAAGUCAAAGAAAGUGGAUCAAAAAUAUUCGAGAGGAGUCGAUCAAGAAGAAGAAUCCGGAAACUGCGGAUCCGAAAAACGAUUGAAGAUGCGUCGAGAGAAAUUAGCCGUUUUAUUUAAUACUUUUUUUUUCAAAUUUCUAGGAGCGUGUGUUUCAUAAUACCCUACCUUGUUACGAAUUUUCUUGUAUAUUGUUAGUUCAACUGUAUACCCGGUAGAGGCGCGAGACCCAGUCUCUGUAUAUCUUACAAGAUAUAUUCUACUUUGUUACGUGGCAACACUGUCACCAUUAACUUUUCCAGACUGGCGCGAAAUUGUAGGGUAACGGCUCUGCAUCGCCUGAUUGUUUUGUUGUUCAUAUUGAAUGAAAUCGUGGUAAAGAAUUCAAAAUCUACAAAAAUAAUAUUUACAUCAUGCUGCCAAUGCAGUACUCUAUAUGAUGUUAGAUGUUAAUGAUAGUAGAAUUUAAAACAAUAUUGUGUGAAGCACGUCGGGAAACUCUUUUUGUUUUUUUCGCUCAUUUCAUAAAGUUAUUCUUUUUCAACUAGUUGUCCCCUCCUUGCAAUGUUUUUUCCUUAAUUCAAUGAACUCGCGUUUGUCUUUACUUAGACGGCUGACUAGAUUGAAGUCAAUACGUCAUAACAACACCCAAGGCUCCAGGUGUGAAUGAAACCUACAACCUGCUGCAAAAAAAAAAAUUAUUCUUCUCAUAUUUAGUUGUACGAAUUGCUAUUUUUCGAUUAUUUAAUUAUUAUUGCAUUAUAUAAAUCUUCAGUUCCGUUAAGCAACAUUAUUAAAAUAAUGUUUUAAUUAUACAAAGUGGCACCAACAAGUUUUGGUUUGUUAUAUGCGAAUAUUAUGCAAUAACUUCUGAAUCUUUUUUAAUUUUUGGGUACAUUUUUAGAUUUAUUACUUUCUUUCGAUAAUUUCUGCUAAAUACUAUUUAGAGCGGUGUUCGAAAUAUUAAAAAUAUCGAAUAUAAAUAUUUACAUUACAAAGAUAUUCAAUAUAAAUGGUUGUCUAAUGCAAUAGGAAAAGAAGUUGUUGGAAUUUGCAAAUUAAAAUAUCAUUCGAUAAAUACUUAUGUAAAUAAUUGGGUAAUAAAAUAUUUUGAUUUUAUCGUCUAAUAAUAUUGUAUUAAUAUUAAUAUAUCGCCUAUUAAAGUCCGCAACAUAUAAGAACUAUUUUAAACUAUUUUAUUGAACGAUUUAAGUUCUUGACUUUUGCUUUUAAUCAAACCAAAAUAAAUGUAAAAACUAACGUUUCUAUAUUUUAGUAAAAAUUAUCAUUUUGAAAUGAACUUUAAUAAAAGUUAUUCGAUAAAAGUGUUCUUUUUAAUAGUCAUUUUUCUUCAUUGUCCCCUAAGAUAUAAAUAAAAAUAAUGUUGAACAGGGAAUGAGAGGGAUAAAAUGUAAUGUACGGAAUAUUCAAUAAUGUGUCACCAGUGCCACCGAACAAUAUUUUGAAAUAUUGCUUUUUUUAAUGUACCUAAGCUUAAAUCGUAACAAUGUUUUUCUAAAUAUACUCAUUAUUUAGGCAA